rnacentral:rRNA from 1 species
AUGGCAAUGGCUAGGACGAUGACGCUCCUCCUCGUCGCCGCGGCUCUCGUCGUGACCUCCUGCGGCGCGUGGAAGGUGAACAUCCGGAUGCCGACGGUGGCGGCCAUGGACGAUGCCAUGGCACCGCUCAUCCAUGCGCUGCGGCCGCUGCUGGGCUCCGGCAGGCAUGCCGGCGUGCCGUGCGACAGCUGGCGGCUGGGCGUGGAGGCUUACAACGUGCGGGACUGGAAGGCGGUCCCCGCCAGCUGCGAGGACUACGUCGGCCACUACAUGCUCGGCAGCCACUACCGCCGCGACUCCAAGGUCGUCAUCGACCAGGCCAUCGCCUACGUCGACAGCCUCAAGCUCGCCGGCAACGGCAAGGAGGUGUGGGUCUUCGACGUCGACGAGACCACGGUCUCCAACCUCCCCUACUACGCCAAGCACGGCUUCGGGGCUACGCCAUUCAACGUGACAAGCUUCAACGCAUACGCGCAGGAAGGGAGCGCCCCGGCGCUGCCCGAGACGAGGCGGUUGUACAACAAGCUGCUCUCGGUCGGCAUCAAGCCGGUGAUCCUCACCGGUCGGGCCGAGUACCUGAGGGCCUCCACCGCCACAAACCUCCGCCGCCAAGGCUACUCCGGGUGGAUGACCCUGCUGCUGAAGGCGCCUGGCUUCAAGGGCUCCUCGUUGGCCUUCAAGUCCAGCGAGAGGCAGAAGCUGCAGGACGCCGGUUACAUCAUUGUCGGCAACAUCGGCGACCAGUGGAGCGACAUCCUUGGUGCACCGGAGGGCGCCCGCACCUUCAAGCUUCCGGACCCCAUGUACUACAUCGGCUAG